rnacentral:rRNA from 1 species
UACAGAGGUCCCAAGCGUUGUUCGGAUUCACUGGGCGUAAAGGGUGCGCAGGUGGGUUGGCAAGUUCGAUGUGAAAGCCCCGGGCUUAACCCGGGAAUGGCAUUGGAUACUGUUGAUCUGGAGGGUCGGAGGGGGGACUGGAAUCCUUGGUGUAGCAGUGAAAUGCGUAGAUAUCAAGAGGAACACCAGUGGCGAAGGCGAGUCCCUGGACGAUACCUGACACUGAGGCACGAAAGCCAAGGGAGCAAACAGG